rnacentral:rRNA from 1 species
UGAGACUAAGCCAUGCAUGUCUAAGUAUAAACAAAAUUUGUACUGUAAAAACUGCGGACGGCUCAUUAAAAUCAGUUACAAUCUACUUGAUCGUAUAUUCAAAGAAUUAAUCGGGUAACCCUAGUAAUUCUAGAGCUAAUACGUGCAAAAAGCUCCGACCUCUUUUAACCGAGGGGAAAGAGUGUAUUUAUUAGGUAACUUAAAACCAAUCAGCCCAAAAGGCUGUUUUGUUGAUGAUUCAUAAUAACUUUGCAAAUCGCGGGCCAAUGUCUGCGAUGAUACAAACGAGUUUCUGACCUAUCAACUUUAGAUGGCAGGAUAGGGGGCUUGCCAUGGUGACAACGGGUGACGGGGAAUUAGGGUUCGAUUCCGGGAGAGGGGAGCCUGAGAAACGGCUACCACUUCCAAGGAA